rnacentral:tRNA from 1 species
GGGCUUCGCUUUAGCGUCUAAGCUGCCUUUGCAAGGCAGAUGUCAGGAGUUCGAAUCUCCUAGGCUCCA